rnacentral:rRNA from 1 species
UUGCUCGGAAUCAUUGGGCGUAAAGCGCACGUAGGCGGCGAAGCAAGUCGGGUGUGAAAGCCCUGGGCUCAACCCAGGAAGUGCAUUCGAAACUAUUUCGCUUGAAUCUCGGAGGGGGUCAGAGAAUUCCCGGUGUAGAGGUGAAAUUCGUAGAUAUCGGGAGGAAUACCAGUGGCGAAGGCGCUGACCUGGACGAAGAUUGACGCUGAGGUGCGAAAGCGCGGGGAGCAAACAGG